rnacentral:tRNA from 1 species
GCCUGUGUGGCUCAGUCGGUUAAGCGUCUGACUUCGGCUCAGGUCAUGAUCUCGCGGUCUGUGGGUUCAAGCCCCGCGUCGGGCU